rnacentral:lncRNA from 1 species
GUACAAACUCUGGGGAGUGGCUCUUGCAGGCUGGUCCCUGGGUGGGGACUUAGCUGGGUGGGGCAGCCAGAGGAGAGGGCGUCCUUUUUGCUCUGGGAGACUCUGCUGCCCGCUGCUCCAGGCUCCGCCCUCUGGGUUUAAUCUCUGUGUAGAGCGGGGUGCAGGCAUCUGAGAAGACCCCCGUCCCCCUGCCAGGACCUGGGCCACCUCUCCCCAUCUUCCCAGGCCCCAGAUGGCAUCUCAGUGGCAAAACACAGGCCAUGUCAGUCAUUCCUAGGGAAACCUUGGAAGUGACCUUGUCUGUUUCUUUCUCCGGAAACAAAACCAGAGAGAGGCACUGCCUUCCAAAGACGCAUUUACAAGAGAGCCUGGGCCAGGUCCGGGGCUCCUGGCUCCAAAUGCGUUCAUCUUUUGCCUGACUUCACCCUCCCUUCAACUUCCCUCUGGUGCUGAAUCAGUUCCCAAGUUCACAGGGACAGAGAGGCGCUGAGCCCACAGCACAGAAGCUAGGUUCUAUGACUGAGACAUUCAAAGGAGGUCCUGCCUCUCUGAACCUCAGUCUCUUCAUCUGUAAAUGGGGAAAAUGAUACACACCUGUAAAACCAGCAACUUGAGAGGAUGAGGCAGGAGGAUCACAAGUUCAAGGUUGGCCUUGACAACUUAGUGAGACGCUGUCUCAAAAACUCAAAUAGCUGGUGUUGUAGUUCAGUGAUGCAGAACCACCAAAUUCAAUCCCUAGGACUGAAAAAUAAAAAUAAAAAGGUGGGGGGAUAAUGGCAUAAUGUCUACCUCACAAGAAGGGAAUCCGGACAAGAACUGGC